rnacentral:rRNA from 1 species
CGUGUAGGAGGCUGGCUAAGUCUGGUGUGAAAGCCCGGGGCUCACCCCCGGAAGUGCGCUGGAAACUAGUCAGCUAGAGUAUGGGAGAGGGAAGUGGAAUUCCUGGUGUAGCGGUGAAAUGCGUAGAUAUCAGGAGGAACACCGGCGGCGAAGGCGGCUUCCUGGACCAAUACUGACGCUGAGACGCGAAAGCGUGGGGAGCAAACAGGAUUAGAUACCCUGGUAGUCC